GGGAAUAUCCAUAGUCUCCGAUGACAGAAUCGUCUUCAUCUUCGCUGCACGUUGUACAGGACGAUCACUCGCAGUAACAACUCGUCGUCCUCGUCCUGGAGAGUGCAAAAGAACUGGCGAUGGCACCUUAAACCCUAACGAAGCCACAAAGGAGUCCCUUUUUGCUUUUGGGUGCUGGCCCUUCAAGAAACACCUUCUGGCCCAACUAGAAUUGAAUCUUUGAUUUCUUGGACGCCUCCUCCAAUUACAUGGGCUAAGCUUAUAACGCUCACGGUUCAGCCCACGAUGAUCCUGGAUUGGCAGGGGCGGGAGGAUUAUUAAGGGAUUGGACUUUGGGCUUCCAUAGAAAUCUGGGAGCAGCAAAAAAGUGCCUUGGCAGGUUGUUGGGCAUCAAGGGGAUGGUCUAACGCCGGCUGUCCAACUUAGCAUCCCUGUCUUGGAAAUUGAAUUGGACGCCUUACUUGCGGUUAAUUUGAUAAAAGUAAAUAAAUUUGACACCCAGGAAUUCUUUCCUCUUUUUUUUUUUUUUUUUUUUUUACAUGAUGAUUGCAGAACCCUCAUGGACAGCUACAACAGGUCGCAUUAAGGCAUAAAUUCCGAGAUUAUUUUGUAUCCACCCAUAAUUUUGGAAGACAUUAGGGGAAUAUCCCUGCCUAUGACUGAAAUGAACUAGUAGUGGUGAUAUGGUUAAAGGGGUAAAGUGAUAAUAAUCCUUUAUUUAAUAAAUUGCAUCUUUCGUACCAGGAAAAAAAACACACACACACACAUGGGUAUAUAUCUGGAUUUUUUGGAACCCCAAUACAAUUUUCUGAGCAAAGCAUGGAAAAUCUUUUUCCCCUUGAUAUUUGUCCAUUUUGUUGGUCCACCAAUAAGAAUAUAUAUAUAUAUAUAUAUAAUAUAUAUAGAGAGAGAGAGAGAGAGAGAGAGAGAGAGAGAGAAUUAUAUGCACAAUAUCUCACAGAAAUCAAAUAUUGUGUUUUGAUUGUAAAUUAUUUGAGAUAUUUUUAUUAUAGCACUUUUUGUGAUGUGAUGUAUGCGAGAUAAAAAUAUAUAUUAAAAAUUGUAAUGAUAAUAUAAGUAAAUAUAUUUGGAUAAAUAAUCUUUUUUUUUUUAUCAAUUGGAUAAAUAAUCUUUGUCCAGACACACUCAAAGUAAGGAGGCUCUUGAAAUAUAUUAAUACUAUAUAUCCACGGCUAGAAUACGGACAAGCAUGUUAUGGCUUUUGAGAGACACCACAAGAUGGGGGUGCAAAAGGCACAAGGCGAUGGGGCAAUCAUGCACCUUUCGGCUGCGGCCAAUACUUUACAAAGAAUCAAAUAGACAAAUUGGAUUUUACUUUCUUUAUUAUUAUUUCUUGAUUAUUUUGUUUUAUUAGAUUGGAUUGUAAUGUGGGAAUAGGUUUUGUGUUACACAAUAAGCUGUAAUAUUCAUAAAGGUGCCGGUGCGUAACAAAAAUAAAUGUAGUUCAAUGUGUGUAAUAGAAGAGAGUAAUGAAUGUGGAUCGGGCAGCAUCAUUCAUCAAAGCAUGUUGGACAAAAGUGAAAGGAUAUAUUAUACUGAUUGAAGCAUGUUGCCGGUUUUUUAAGUUAUUGCGGGAUUAGAUUUGUUUACGUAAUUCUUACUUCUGUAAGAAAAUGUCAGAAAGAAAAUUCAUUCUUAAGGGCUCAGAGGAUCUUUAUCUCUUAGCAGCAGGAGGACACCCUGUGGGGUUUUCUAUCCCACUUCGAUAUUGGGAAGGAAGGAUUUGGGUAGAUAAGUCCUUCACAGGAUUUCAAAAGUUAUCGAUUUUUUAAGUAACUGUAGAGAUUAGAUUUAUUUACGUAAAUUUUUACUUCCGUAAGAAAAUGUCGUAAAGAAGCAAAUGACGUGACCGGUUCAUCACCAAUCAAGUUGAGCGUAGAAAUUUACAACCGGCCCGGCCCACAUCCAUGCAAUGCUGAGCGACUAGUUGUACUCGUAGUUGCUGUAUCCCACUUGAAUGAAUUUUGACGGUCCUCUUUUUUUAUCUCAUUGAAAUCUCAUUUGUCGUCUUCCUCGCGUUUGUCCGGUGAUGUCCUCUAAUCCAUCUAUCGCCACGUGGAAAAUUUUUUUAUUGGCCGCUGUUGGCAAUUGCCAGGAGUUCCACAUAGAUUUUUCUUUUUUUUUUUUGGUGGUACUAUGAUGCAGACUUUUUUAUUAUUGUACGAUAAUAAUAAUUUGGAUAGCACAAAUAUCUCAAAUAAUAUUUCAUCUGUAUCAUAAAUACAUUUUUCAAUCCACUUUUUUAUAUAUUCAAUUAUCUUUUUAUCUCACAUACAUCACAUCACAAAAAGUGUUACAGUAAUUAUUUCAAAUAAUACUCUAUCCAAACAAACCAGUUAUAAUUUAUUUUUGUUUCAACGUAUUGCUGUAGUACCUAAAACCUCUGUUUUUAAAUUCGGACCAGAUCGACCUGUCCGAAUUAAUCCUAAAAACCAGAAAAUCAAAAAUUCGGUCAAAUCAGGUCAAAACCCCGGGUUUGAUAGGGUUUUGACCCAGUUUGACCGGAAAAAUGAACCGGAACUCUCUUUUGUUUUUUAACUUUUUUUGAAAGGUCAGAAUAUUUUUAAUAUGAUGUUUUGAUCCUUAAGGUGCUAAAAAUUAUUAACAUAUCUCAAAUAUUUCAUAUUUUAUAAAUGUAUACUUAAAAUUUGGUGUUAUUUUUCAAUUAAAUCCAUAAUUUUAAUUCUAAACUCGUUAAUGCUUAUUAAAUAAUAUAAAUUGCUAUUUGAUUGCUCUAAUUUAUUUGUAUUUUCUUAUUGAAUAUAUUUGAAACAUCAAAUAUAUAUGAAUAUAUCUUUAUUAAUAUUAACAUGUUGUUAAGUAUUUUACAUACAAUAUUUUAUUUUUUAAAUAAAUUUUAUUUAUGACGUCAUUCGUUCAACUCUUAUCGAAUCCGGUUGAACCGAUUAACCCCUGACUCCUGAGUUCGACCGAAUCGAUAUCCGGUCCGAUUCUGAAAAUAUAACCUAAAACAUUCAUGGGUCUCGGAAGACUACUCUACUAGUACUUACUGAGUACCAAAAUGUUUGUCUUCCAAUUGAGUGCUGCCCUUAAUCUGGUCAAUGGAGGUUUUCCAAUCCCACUAGACUCAAUUAAUUGCCUUGGAGAUGAAUAAAAAUUAAAAAUGGCAAUGGCCAACUCUGAAUUGGCAUCUGGCGAGAAAGGACAUUUUUGAAAUUCUGAAAUCAAUAGAAGAAAAAAAGGUUUGUUUGUGUUUUGGUUGAGGAAGAGCCCAAGAGCUGUUUUGCUUUGCAUGAUUGAUGAAUUGAACACAAGCUGUACUUGUUUUUGAGAGAUUUGAGAGAAGUAGUUAACGGGUUCCUUAAACUCGUACUAACAAAGUGUAAUGUUCGAUUGUAGGACAUGAUAGAUUAAAUAAAAAUACGCCGAUGGGCAGUUGGUUGAAGUGGGACGAUGUGGAAAGUUGUGACUCUGCCUCCCACUCACCCUUUAGAAUAACAGGCCUGUUUGGAACCUGAGUUUUUUAGGAGUUUGUUUAAAACUUUACUGUAGUGCACUGUAGAAGUUUUUAAAAAAAUUUUGUAGAAGUUUUUAUAAAGUGAAAAUUUUUUUUGUAAGGUGUAAAAUUUUGUAGAAGUUUUUGUAGAGUGAAAAACUUUUUUUCCUUUUCUUUUUUUUUUCUUUCUUUUUCUCUUUCUCUUUCUUUUUCUUUUCUUUUUUCCUUUUUUUUCUUUUCUUUCCUCUCUUCUUCUUCUUCUUCCUUUUUCUUCUUCUUCUUUCUCUCUUUCCUCCCCGUUACCUCCCAGCAGCACUCACGCCCCGCCACCCCUCUCCUCCCUUUCUCCUUCUCCUCCCGCCACCUCCCCUCUGCCACCGUGACCCCUUCCCCCCGCCACCCCCUGUGCCCCUUCCCCCUGUGCCACUGCGACCCCCUCCCCCCGCCACCCCCUGCCCUUUCCCCAGCUUCUCCCGCCACUUCCCCUGGGCAACCCCUUCCCUACCACCCCUAUCCUUUCCCCAGCGCGACCCCCUCCGGUGGAUGGCGCUGAAAUAGUCCCUCGGUUUCCGGUAAAAAGCAUCGAGGAAUUUACGGAACUUGGAACGCUUCGUCGCGGAGGAUUUGCUCUUCUACAUCCAGUUGAAUAAAGAAACCAUCACGUUGAAUUUGAUGUCAAAUUCCUCCAUCCUGGACUUUUUUUUCCCCUUUUUUUGCUUUUUCUAAGCUAUGAUUUUGCUUGUUCGGUUCUUGGGGUUCUAUGUUCAUUUUUUGUGUUUGAAAAUGAAUGAUUUAAAAACCGCCUGAAAGGGGGAGGGGGAAGGGGGCAGGGGAGGCAGAGGGGAAGAGGGGAGGGGGAGGGAAAGAAAAAAAAAACCUUAUGUAUGGCCGGAACUGGCCGCCGGAAUAGUAACCGGUGUCGGAAGUGGUGGUGGAGGUGGUGGCCGGAGGCUGAGGAUGUGGUGGGUUGGGUGGGGGAGGAAAAAGAAAAAAAAGUUUGAAGGGAAAGUUUUUUUUGUGUAUUUUUUAAGUGUGUAGGUAAAAAGAUUUGAGAAGUUUUUUGGGGUUCCUGUAACAAAAGUUGUUAAAAAACUAGUAGGUAAAAAACUUGGUCAAAAAAUUCACUUUCAAACAGGGCCAACGUUUUGAAAAAGAAAAAAAAAACGUAAUAUUUCACUUAAUGGAGUGAAAUUUAUUCAUAUUCACGCGUACACCGUCACAAUAAAUUCAAAUUAAACGUAUCUUCUCUUCUGGACCAUCAACUAAGCCAUGCAAUUUGAGCAUCAUAUAUCAAAGGGAGUCGAGCCUCUCCGCCUCCACCGCCGCGCCCUUUGGUCUUCAUGAUUCAUCCCUACGCGGUUGCAAUGGUGCUGUGCUGGAUUGGAUUAUGCCAGCUGCUUUUUUUUUCUUUUUCUUUUUCUUUUUCUUUACUGUUGAUGGGAAAAAUUUGCGUGCGUGAAAAUAGAUAGAAGCUUCUGCUCCAUCUCACACAAGCAUCUCUGCUAUCUUUUGCAGUAGCAGACAGUAGUAUUUACCAUCCCUGUUAUCCACCAUUAAUUCAAUUCAUAUGCUCUCCUUUUUGCCUUAUCCUUUUUUGGCGUUAAAAUUGUCAAAUCAAGCUUUCGGCCAAAAGGAUCACGGCAGGGAAAAGGUUUUGGAAUUUUAUGGGUCCUAACUUUCGUAAUUGUUGUUGUUUCUUGAAAUGUAGUACUACUAUUAUUCAAGAGGAUGUUCAUGGAAGGUUGAAUCUUAUAAACCAUCCAAUUUCCCUUUCUCUCUUCUGACCCCCCCCCCCCAAUUCUGCACAAUUCCAGUCUUCAUGCCUGACGUUAAUGCUGAAACUCUGAUUUUAUCUUCACAGCAACUUUUGGACAUCAUAUUCUUCUCAACUUCAAAUGUGUUUACGCUUCCAAAAGGACUAAUAUUGUCCUUUUUGUGAUCUCAGUCGCUAUUGAAAUAAAAUCCGAGCUGUUGCAAUAUGAUUUUUGCCCAUUUGACUACUACUAGUGGUUAGAAUCGUUAAACACUAGUGGUAAUGUUUGAUAUUUUUAGAUGUCAUAUAUUAAUAGAUGAAAAUUAUUUCAAAAUGAAAUACUCACAAAUAUUAUGUAUUCGAUUUGAUAAUUUUGUAUAAAGGCGCGAACAUAUUUUGCAUCAAUCAAUUUUUAGUAUGAAAAUCAAUAUUGGUGAUUUAAUUAAUUCUGUUAAAUUUUGUACAGUUCAUACUACAAAAAAAUGUUCAAUGAGACUUGUAUAUCUCGAAAGCAAACUUGCCGAACCUUUUUUAAAUAUUUCAAUUGAAUCAUUAUGGUGUAAGAUUCAUUUUGUAAUAAGUUGUUUUCUCCUUUAUAAUCUUGCAAGUUUGAAAUCAAUGAUGGAACUAAGGGGGCUAAUAGGGGCCAUAGCCCCUCCUAAAGUUUUAAAAAUUUUAAUUCAUAUUGUGUAAAUAUUUGUGUAAAACAAAGUUGGCUCUCAUAAUUUUUUUACAAUUUUAGUUUAUAUUAUGAAAAAAUAUAUAUAUAUAUAUAUAUGGAUAUAUGUGUGCAUGUGUGUGUGUGAAUUAACUACAUUUGAAUUAAUUUUUUUCUUAAAAAAGUUAUUUAUUUUAUAAUCCCUUUAUAAUAAAAAUUAAAAUUUAAUAUUUUUAGAUGUCAUAUAUUUAAAUAGAUAAAAGUUAUUUGAACAUAACACAUAAUAAUAAUUAUGUUAGGAAAAUUUUUAACCCCUCUAAAAAAAAAUUGACUUCGUCACUAAUUGAAAUGUUUGUAAAUGGGAUCCAUUCAUGGUAAGAGUAUGAUAUAUAAUUUUUUUUCACUAUAUUUAAUUUGUGUGAUGACAAAUGAAAAUGGGUAAAAUGGGUUAGUUAUCAUUAGUUUUGCGAAUAAUUAUGAGAGUAAAAUACAUUAUGAUAAUAAGAUGUGUAGAAUUGUGAAAUUUGUAAUCAAACGGACUCCUAAAUUUUUGGAUGUGUGACUUUCGUAGUUGCGAGUUUCUUAAAUUAACAAUUAGUUAUUGCUUGAUAAGUGUAAGUAUUGCUAUUAGUGAUAUGGUAAGUGUCAGUAGUAAAUGUGAGACGUAAAAUUUUGCGGACGUGGUUAUUAUCUGUUAGUUAAAACUUAGGGUUUUAAUUUUGCAGGUUAGUGGAUCACAUAAAUUAAAGAGUGGAAAGGGAUAAGGAGAAGAUAAGGGUUAUUGAACUAAAAUAAAUAUAAAAUUAUAGUAAAAAGGGAUUCAGAUUUCUAAUGUUUGUGGAAGCUCCUCGUCAAAAACCUGUCUAAUAUGUAUAGAUAUAGAUAUAGAUACCUUUAACAUCUGAUUAUAUAUUGUUGAUACUGCCAAUCAAUGUAAUCACAAAUAAUUUUCAUGCAUAACUACCCAUUAUGGUAAUCACCAAGUUAAUUAAAAGUCUAUUAAACAAACUUUAAAAGAUCAAUUUUUUUAAUGAAAAAUUUAUACUAAAUUCUUUCAUAUAAAAAGGGAUUGUUUCUAAAUUGUAUAUACAUCGAGUGUAUCCUUAUCAUUGGUACUAAUAGUAGUGUAUUACAAGGAUUUUUCUUCGCAGACAAAUCUAUGCAAAUUUAAUAAUAUCAGCUGUUCUCUUCCUCGUGAAAUCCAUUAAAAAAAGAAAGAGAGAAAAGAUGAGUUUUGAAGUGUAUGUAUUUGAAUUGGGUGUACUAAUAAACAUUGAGCAUAUACUUCUUUUUUUUUUUUUGUGUUAGAAAACUUAGAAUAGUACUUCUUCUUCUUUUUUUUUUUUGGUGUGUUAGAAUACCACUAAUUUUUUUUUCAUAAUUAGAAUUACAUGUUUAGAAAAAAGAAGAAGAAGGAAAAGAACAACCGGCAAAUACACAAUCUGGAUUCUGGAUCUGUCUCAAUCUCUCUCACGCACAGAAAAACAGAGGGACGAUCCGCCCGUAAAAAGAGGCAGGGCGGGGGAAUUGGACUCUCUCAUUCGUUUCAAUUCAUUUCCAGAACCACAAUUCCACUCCCCCUUCUAUCUCUUUCCCCAUCAUCAUUCAUUCACUAGUCAUCCGUCCUUUUUCCCAUAGCGCUCUCUCUGGAUUCUUUCUUCUUUUUAUCUCUGAGCAACUUCUCUUGCAGUAGUAAUAACAAUCUACAGGGACAGCCACCCCCAUUGUGAUUGCAUUUUGCCUCUAUAUACUACACAAAUUUAAGGAAGCGGAGCUUUGGUUGGUUGUGGCCGCAUUGUUUUUCGUCAUCUACAACCAACAAACUCUCAGAAUCGUAUUCCGUCUCGGUUUUGCCUCUUAACGAAAAUCCCUGAUUGUCCCCACCUCGUCCUCUUUCUUUCAAACGCUGUUACUAGCCUCAUCCUUCACUUUCUUCAUUGCCGCUGCUGCCCUCCUCCUCCUCCUCGACCACCUUAAGGAGCCAAGUAUAUCAUUCCUUUCUUUUUUCUUUUAAAUAGGAGGCAUAAUACCAGAGUAGUACUAUCUUUUUUCCUAUGGGAAGGACGAGGGAUACAGGCCUUAGCACAAAAGGUAGGUGUAGGAGGGUGUCGAGGAUUGGAAGCUAUGCUAUAGCCUCCUCAAUUGCCGAUCCCACCUGCAUUUCUUGUACCACCUUCAACAUCCUGCCCCUAUCUACAAGCGUCUCAACCAUGAGGUUCCUCUCUCUCUCUCUCUCUCUCUCCCCCCCGCUCUGUAUGUGUUUUCUAUUUCAUUCUCUUUUCACGAAAAGGAUUAAUUGGUUGGUCUUUCCUUUCUGUUGAGGUUGAUUGCUUAUUGGGUUUGGGUGGGGGAUGGCAGGACCAGAGUAUCAGGGAAAGCGAGAAGAAGGCUUAUUGGUUGAACAGGAACCACAGGAUAUUGGAUUGGUUGUUGUACGAAAGAUCUUCCAUUAUCUGCCUCCAGGUAAUCUUUCCUCGUGUAGCUCUUGUUAUUCCUUCCUCUCCUUAACAAUUCUGAUUAAAUUCAUCCUCUUGACACCCCCUUUUGUGCUAUGUUUUUUCCAAAUACAGGAAUUUUGGGUUGGAAACGAAGAGCUUGUUAAUAUUUACAACAAGAGGCUUGGAGCUGCUGGCUAUACUAUUUUUAAACUCGCGCGAACCAACAAUCGUGGCGAUGGUAGGUGGCUCCUUUCAACCCCCCCCCCCCCUUCUUCUCCUUCCUUUUCGUUUAUUUUGAUUUAAAAAAAAAAGAAAUUAUUGAACUGGGGAGGCUCUGUGGAAGUCAUCAUUAAGUACUAUUAUCACAUUUGGUUUUGGUCAUCUGUACUUUGCGUUGAAAUUGCCAAUGUGAGGCCUGCCUGCUGCAUCCUUUUCCCCCAUGUUCUAACUUCUAACUUCUUUUCUUGGUUUAUCCUCAUUUUUAUCUGCAUUCCAAUAGCGCAUUUCCAGUAGGCAAAUUGCUCUAUUGCUGGGUUCUUAAAUGGUACAGGUGAAGGUAAAGAGAUGUGGAAAAGCAAGAGUAGAGGAAUAUGAAAAUGAAGAAGAAAUGAUAUAGUUUUAAUUGGGGAUAUCGAAACCGUCAAACAGAGUUGUUAGCGAAGUAGUUAGUCGAGGAGUACUAGUUUUGCUGCCCCAGAAAUGAUUUUUUUUUUUUUUUUGGAGUUUGCACAUCUGACGCCAUAUAUGCUGAUAAAAUUAUCUUGUUGACUCGGGUACAAGCAUACGUGAUAAUUCUUUAGAGCAUGUGGGGGUUGAACCAACAUGUUAUGGGUUGACAUUAGCACUGCCUAGUGAAUAAAGUGAAAAAAAAAUGAUCUUAACUCUAGGUGAAGAAUUAGAAUAUUUUAGAAUUAUGCUUCCUAGCUAACCUGUCUCCCCCCCCCCCUCCCCCUCGCCCUCUGAAAUUGUACAGGUUUGUUGACUGCUGUCCAUCGGGACAUAUUUAGGGUCAUGAACCACCGAGAGUUGCUAUUUAAUGAUUUCGGAGACCGAGUUGCUCAGCUGUUACAUGUUGAACUUAUUGCACCUUUCUCACAAAGUCGAAAUAGCAAUGUCGUCAAGAAAUUCUCAUUGUGAACACCCAUUUGUUGUUUCCACACAAUUCAAGUCUGUGUUUGGAAAGACUGCGGCAGGUCUGUCAAAUCUCUUUAUUUAAGUCGUGGUCGUAUACUGCUAAUUUGGUGAACCAUAGCAUGGUUUGCUUCAUAUGUCCACUCACUGAUGCUUUUUUUUAUUGUCAUGCCACCCAUAAAUAGGUGUACAAAAUAUUGCAAUAUGUGGAAUCUUAUCAAAAGGAAAACAAGCUCAACCCCCUUCCCAUUAUCCUCUGCGGGUAAACCUCUUUUUAGUUAUUUUGCAAAUAAUCCCAGCCAUUGUUAAAGCAUUACUCAUAACAUGCUCCUUUCUUUGCCAUUUCAGAGAUUGGAACGGAAGCAAGCGAGGUCAUGUUUACAAGUUUCUGCGAUCUCAGGGAUUUGUAUCAUCAUAUGAUACUGCUCAUCAGUACGCUGAUGCUGAUGCACAUAAGGUGACUUGCUUUUCAUAUUCAAAUUGCUUGUAGGAGUACCAAGUUUACUCCAGUGUAUGACGUCUUAAACUUUUAUGCAGGGUAAGCCACCGUAAUCAUCGUGGAAAUAUCUGUGGUGUAGAUUUCAUAUGGCUACUGAAUCCAAACAGAUAUCGAAAAUUACUGAAAACAAGUUGGAGUGAAGCUGUCUUUGGAAUGUUCAAGGUGAGAUAAUGCGUCCACUUUGUGUAACUUUUCACUCUACAGUGCUAUUAUUGAGACUAUUAUUUUUCUUUACAUGCUUGAUGUAGUUUUGAUCUUGUAGUCCUUGCUGGUUGACUGCUCUUUAGAUGGCUGAAAAGGCUAUAGUACAGAGUUUUUACUUAAUCGUGUUCUCUUUAACCCUUGGAACUCUGGAUGCUGAACUGUGACCAUAUAUGUUUGGAUUUGUAUCACCUUCUUUGGGCAUAUAUGUUUGCCCUUUCUCCUUUAUGGUUGGCUUCCUGUUUUGCGACAGAUGGCACUUUCAUAUGGAAAUUAAUAUUUUGGACUUAAAAAGAUAAUAAAAUAAUUUAUGCAGCAUCUUUCUCAAAUUACUUUGAUUAUUUGGUACAAGAUAUAUUAUGGGUGCAAUAUAUCUUUUGGACUUAAAAGAUAGCCUUACUCAUUGGCAACAACUGUUGUCUAUGAUUUGAAUUCUGUUUUUUUCUGUGCUUUCUUUCCUCAGUGAUACAUAUUCCGAUUAUGGUCUUCUUUUUUUUUUUUAACAUUUGAUGGAUUUCAGUAUCAACUUCGACGAGCUUCAUUGACAGAGCACGAUGCAUUUGCCUUUUUGAAGGCUGAUAGUGACGGUGAUUACAUUACUUGCACUGGUUUCUGUGAAGCAUUGCGGCAGGUAGCACUAUAAAUUUAUACUUAACAAGUACUCUACAUGAUAAAAAGUCAUUCAAUUUUGUUUGAACUAAGGUCAAUUCUUCAAUCUGAUUUUAUUUCAUAAUUUCUCAGCUUAAAUUGGUUGGCCAUUGCUAUGGGCUAAGCAUAGACGAGACUAAAGACUUGUGGGUGCAAGCAGACAUUGAUGGAAAUGGUGUUCUUGAUUUUGAAGAAUUUGAGGUAUUUGAUCUUUUUCUUUUGUAGGAUAUUGUGCUGUCAGCUUCACAUGUAUGGCACACCUGUGCGUUGAAACGUCCUUCAUCAAAUCUUUCCUUUUAAACAUAGUUAUCAAUUGAACUUUUCUAAGUUGGUCUCAUGGAGUACAGCAAAAGGAAAUUGAACUUUUCUUCAGAUUAUGUCUUCUAGUAGUUCGUUCAAAGGAUUUAGUUGCCUCUUAUAUUGCUAUCCUUCUGAGAGCGCUACUUCUUCAGAUUUGGACACCUAUGCAUGGACGAUAACUUUUUUUUCCAAUAAUGAAAUUGCAGCAACGAAUAUGGCACCCUACAUGGUCAGAGGUUAGAGAGGAAUUUAGCAAGGAUGGGUGGGAUGAUGUUGUCCAUGGUACAGAGCAAACAAUUGGUUUCAGCGUGAAGAAUGCAGUACUUUUCCCAACAGAAGUAGAGAAAGGGAUGUGGCCUGAGGACUAUUCACUCUCUGAUCAUGCCCGGCUUACUGUGGUGUUUUCACCAGUAAGAAUGCCAUGUUCUCGUCUGAUAUCCUGACAACUGUGGGUGCUGUAAGGCUUGGUUCUUAUGCUUGUGACUCAAGAAAACAGGACCGAAGGUUUUACGAGUCUGUUUGAUGCUGAAACAACCCUCGGUGGGUUCAAGUUGAAGAUGCGGAGUUUGAAAAGCACAUAUCUAUCAGGAUGACUAUUGCACCCACCCUCACGGACAAAAAAGUGGACUUUCAUUUAUCUGAGGUUUAGACCUGUUUGGAGCAACAUUGUCAGCUGAAGCUGGUUGCAUUCUCUCUCUCGCUCUCUCGUUGUAUCCAGAUCUCCCACUGAUGCGGUGGAUCCAUGGAUCUCACUGCAUAGCCUCCUGCUUUUGCAUUGCGUCUAGAAGAAAGGAGAAGGAAGCGGGAUGUGUGGAUGGUGUUAAAACAGGUAUCUUGGUAGCAGUCUCCUGUUGUAGUGGAGGGAGAUGGCACGCUGGGCUGGUUUCUGUAAUUAGACUGCCAAAAGUUCAGGUUAGUAAGGGCGACAUGAAAGUCCUUUUAAAGGAAUUCAAGAUCAGCAAUGUUGUUGACCUUGUAAAGGAAUUCUGGCUAUACUACUGCCUUCCCUUUUGACCUGUUCCAAGUAUUCCAGUUCAAUGACGACACAGAGAGAGAAAAGGCGAGUCUACUCAUUUCCAGUUCCAAGUAAUCCAGUGUCUUUGUGAUUCAUGGAAGUCCUUUUGUUUUGGUAAAGGGCCAUUGUGCCGCCGUGCGGGAUCCCAGAACAUCUGCUGACAAAAUUGGGAUUCUUGGUGGAGAUAAUUUUGUUUUUUUUUUUUUUGGGCAGAUAUAUAAAAUAACAAAGAAACUAAAAUGUAAUGAUAGUCGUAAAUUGUAGUCGUAAUUCAGGUUGACGGCUGAUGAUAUGUUAUGAAUUUAAUGAUGAAAGCGAAUGUAAUUUCCGUGUAUAGAAAAUUAAUCCAAUAUAUAUAUAUUUCUCACUCAUACUUGGCGUGCUCAAUUGAGCAGCAUUGACGGGCCAAGUUUUCUUUUGGGUUGACCCAAUUAAUUGGUUGGUGUUAAUAAUUCUUUCCAAACUUGUAAAAUAGAUAUAUUUUAUUCACUUAAUCAUAUAUCUUUGAAAAAUACAUAUAUUUUAUCCACUUAAUCACAUAUCUCUCAAAUCCUCUACGUUUUACAAAAAAAAUCGUCUCAUUCUUUUAAAAUUUUCUCUUCAUAAUCUCCAACUUUUAUCUUACAUAGAAUUUAUCUUAUUUUAUAAGAGAAUAUCCCUUUUCACUCAAACAGUAUCCACUCUUUUUGAUUACGAAUAGAUAAAUCUAUUAUCUAUCCGUCAAAAUUCAUUCAGAUAUAAAAUAAUCCUUAUCAAGAAAAUUAAAAGUUUUAUUCUUGUAUUAGAUUAACCUCAAAUUUGAAAUCAUAUACCAUUCUUAUAAAAUGUAAUAGUUAGUGAUGAUUUCGAUCUUCUCAUACUCAAGAUUUUUUUUUUUUUUUUUUUUUGGAGAAACUUUAUGAUGAUUUAGUAGUGGUUCUUUUGAUACAUUAGUUUUAGAACUUCUAGAGUAUAUAUGUUUUAAAAAAUGUUUGCCCACCUUUUUAGGUUUUUCAAGUAUAUAAGAUGAUUUUUAAGAACACAAUUCGUUUGCGCAAUGUUUUUGUUGACUGUAUGAAUGUAUGGAAAGUUCGUACUUUUUUUUGUACCUUCUUAAUUGCUUUAUAUAUUAGAUCCUUUUUUCAAUAUAGGUUUAAUUUUGCACCAAGAAGAUGGCAUUUGAACAUCUAACCUUUCAAUCAUGGGAAUGUACAGCGUAUGUGUAAGUUCUUCCAAUUUACAUUAGUUCAAUUAAUUAGUUCGUUCCUCGCUCUGUCUUAUUUAUUUAUUCAUUAUGUUUUAGUUAAUUGAUUAUGGUGUGGCGAUGGAAGCAAGAUGGACUUACAUGCUAAACAAGAUGUAUUUUUUUUAAGAGAAGCAAGGUGUACGUUUUCAUAAAUUAGUUGACUCAUAUAUAUAUAUAUAUAUAUUGGAAUAUUGUUCCCAAAUCAAGUUUUACCCAAUUUAUUUUUCACUACUCCUUCUUUUAAUCAUAUUUAAUAAUUCUAUAUAUUUUCAAUUUAUUAAAAGUUUUAAACACUUUAUACUAGAUAAGUAUUAAAUAUUUUCAUAAUCGCUAUAAACUAUGUCAACCGUGCAAGUGCACGGGUUAAAAUCUAGUUGAAAUUGAAGGGCAUACGUUGAUCGAUCAUCCUAAAGAAAAUUGCAAGGGUUACAACUUGGUGUAAAUGUUCACUUAAAUUGAAUUUUAUAUUUUUCAAAGAGUACACUUAUGCUAAGCGAUUUUAAAAAAAUAGUAGUAUGAGUUAAACAUUCUUAAAAUCAAGAAGUGUGCCCUCAUAUCAUUUUAGUACUACCCCGUCCCAUAAAAUUUGUCGAUAUAUAUAUAUAUAUAUAUAGCGAUAUUAAUAGGAAUCAGAAUGUUUACUUUCCUUAUACUUCCUUAGUGGUGGGCCAUCUUUUCGAGAGAGAAAUAGUACAGAUCAAUGUUGUUAAAGUCAGAUCGGAUAGUGAUUCGGCUAAACUAUUGAGUCAGGGAUCAAUUGAUCGGAUCAGUCAGACCGUUCUAAAAAACCCGCUAACGUUAGCAUGGUGUCAUAAUUAUUCUAUAUUUUUAUAAGUUUCAAAAAUAUUGAAAAUAAGUUAUUGGUUAUAUUCGACCAAUCAUACAAAAUGUUUCAAAAAUAUUAGACUUGUAAUCAAAUAUAUACCUAAUAAUUAUAUAUAAAAAUGUAAAUUCUUGACUAAAAUAUGCCUUACUUGAAAACUUAAAUUAAAAUAAAUUAAUGCAAGUUGGAAUCACUUAUGCUAAAUUGACCAGAUGAUAGGAAUGAAAUGUCUUGAUUUAGAGAUCAUUUAAGAAAAUGAGUGAUUUUGGUAUUUAUACUAAGUAGGUGGCGUUUUCAUAUUCCUAUUAAUAAAUGAAAGUGUUACAAUUUAGAUAACUUGAAUUAUGUCUGAAAAAAACCAGAAAGAAAAGUUUGAGAACACAGUAAACCAGUCGAAUCGGGUCACUAGUUUAAUUGAUUUUUGUUAAUUUUGACUAAUUUUAGACCAAAGUGAUUUUUGUCGAAUCGGGUCACGAUCGGACCGGCCAAAUCGGCCGAUCCAAUCUGGGUCUAACAACACUGGUCCAAAUCAUUGAUUUUUUUAAGAUGACGAUUAAUUUGGGAAAAGAAAAAGCGAUAAACAUGAAAUUUUAUGGGACUAAGAAAAUAUGUUGUUUAGAGUAGAAAAUUAUUUUUUUUUAUAAAAAAGUUUUUCCUUUUCGAAAUAAGAAAUGGUUAUGGGUAGCUGACCCUCUCAGUCCGUUCUUGUCAGAAUAAGGCCUACUUUUUAUACUUUUUAAAUAAAAAUUUCUCCGCUUAAUGGAUAACCGUUUGUUACCAAUGGAGAAUUGCUUCUCAUCAUUAUUGGAUUUGCACCAAUGGAAACCAUAAAAUUCAUACACAAUGGAGGGAUAUGAUAGAUUGUCUUAUUUUUUUAGAUAGUAAAUGGAGUCCCCCUCUUACAUAUUAUAUUCGCCGGUACGUAUCAUUGAUACUGGAGAGGUUGUUUUUUUACUUUUGUGCCUGCUCAUGAU
rnacentral:lncRNA from 1 species